AAAUAUUUCUUAUUUAUUUGCUAACUUCUGCUAAAAACUUGCCAAUAGUUUAUUUUAAAACUUCCUAUUACAGUACCUAUUCCUAUCUAUCCUUUUCUCAACUUAUUCCUAUUGCCUUAACAGUUCAAACUAUCUCAAAACUGAGGAGUGAAUUGUGGCCAAAUAGCUUGUGGAAAACGUUUGACGAGAACCUCCUGAUCCUGUGCAGGCUGGUUGUAUGAGUCAGAACAUCUCACAAACGGACAGAAUAACGUUAAAACUGGGUCCCAGCUGACAAACAGACGGAUAUCGGACCUGGCGAUCUCGGAGCUACACCCCAAAACUGAUGAUUAACGUAAACCGUGCCCGAGAAGAUGAACGAGUGCGAGAAUAUCCUGACGAACCUCAUGGGAGCUGAGGGACCUCAUAUCGGUACUUCUCGGCGAAAAAUAACGCCUGAUGAACCUGAAACGCCCCCUGGACCGACAGACCCAUGAUGUCUCAAGAUGAGAGGAAAACUACGCAGCAACGCUAUCUUUUAAUUUAUAGCUCAAUACAAC